rnacentral:rRNA from 1 species
CCUACGGGUGGCAGCAGUGGGGAAUAUUGCACAAUGGGGGAAACCCUGAUGCAGCGACGCCGCGUGAGUGAAGAAGUAAUUCUUUAUGUAAAGCUCUAUCAGCAGGGAAGAAAAUGACGGUACCUGAGUAAGAAGCCUCGGCUAACUACGUGCCAGCAGCCGCGGUAAUACGUAGGGGGCAAGCGUUAUCCGGAUUUACGUGGGUUAAAGAGAGCGUAGACGGCAGUGCAAGUCUGUAGCGAAAGGCGGGGGCUCAACCCCCGGACUGCUUUAGAAACUGUCCGGCUGGAGUGCAGGAGAGGUAAGUGGAAUUCCUAGUGUAGCGGUGAAAUGCGUAGAUAUUAGGAGGAACACCAGUGGCGAAGGCGGCUUACUGGACUGUAACUGACGUUGAGGCUCGAAAGCGUGGGGAGCAAACAGGAUUAGAUACCCGGGUAGUC